UACGUAGGGGGCAAGCGUUGUCCGGAUUUAUUGGGCGUAAAGAGCGUGUAGGCGGCUAGGUAGGUCCGUUGUGAAAACUCGAGCUCAACCUCGAGACGCCGGUGGAAACCAUCUAGCUAGAGUCCGGAAGAGGAGAGUGGAAUUCCUGGUGUAGCGGUGAAAUGCGCAGAUAUCAGGAAGAACACCCGUGGCGAAGGCGGCUCUCUGGGGACGUGACUGACGCUGAGACGCGAAAGCGUGGGGAGCGAACAGG
rnacentral:rRNA from 1 species